AGAGUUUUAUUUUGGGUCCAGGAUGAAAGGUUAGGGCCAGGUUUUACACAUGCAAGUUGAGGGGCAGCCAGUUCCCACCAAUGGAUGAUGGCGACCGGCGGGAAGGGGUGCGUAACGCGUGAGCAACAUGCCCUAUCCAGGGAGAUCCACCAGGGGAAACUGGUUUAAUAUCCCAUAGCAUUCAUUGAAGGCAUCUUUAAUGAAUUAAAAGCUUCGGUGGUAUAGGAUUUGGCUCGCGUGACAUUAGCCAGAUGGUGAGGUAACGGCUCACCAUAGCAAUGAUGUCUAGGGGUUUUGAGAGGAAGGCCCCCCACACUGGGACUGAGACACGGCCCAGACUCCUACGGGAGGCAGCAGUGAGGAAUAUUGGACAAUGGAUGGAAAUCUGAUCCAGCCAUGCCGCGUGCAGGAAGACGGCCUUAUGGGUUGUAAACUGCUUUUAUACGGGAGCAAUAAGGGUUACGAGUAAUCCGAUGAGAGUACUGUAUGAAUAAGGAUCGGCUAACUCCGUGCCAGCAGCCGCGGUAAUACGGAGGAUCCGAGCGUUAUCCGGAAUUAUUGGGUUUAAAGGGUGCGUAGGCGGCCAUUUAAGUCAGCGGUGAAAUUUUGCAGCUUAACUGUAACAGUGCCGUUGAUACUGUUUGGCUAGGAUUUGGUUGUAGUGUGCGGAAUGUGUGGUGUAGCGGUGAAAUGCUUAGAUAUUACACAGAACACCGAUUGCGAAGGCAGCACACUAAGUCAUUAUUGACGCUGAGGCACGAAAGUGUGGGGAUCAAACAGGAUUAGAUACCCUGGUAGUCCACACUGUAAACGAUGAUAACUCGCUGUCGGCGAUACACAGUCGGUGCCAAGCGAAAGC
rnacentral:rRNA from 1 species